GGUGAGUAACACGUGGGUAACCUGCCUGUAAGACUGGGAUAACUCCGGGAAACCGGAGCUAAUACCGGAUAGUUCCUUGAACCGCAUGGUUCAAGGAUGAAAGACGGUUUCGGCUGUCACUUACAGAUGGACCCGCGGCGCAUUAGCUAGUUGGUGAGGUAACGGCUCACCAAGGCGACGAUGCGUAGCCGACCUGAGAGGGUGAUCGGCCACACUGGGACUGAGACACGGCCCAGACUCCUACGGGAGGCAGCAGUAGGGAAUCUUCCGCAAUGGACGAAAGUCUGACGGAGCAACGCCGCGUGAGUGAUGAAGGUUUUCGGAUCGUAAAGCUCUGUUGUUAGGGAAGAACAAGUGCAAGAGUAACUGCUUGCACCUUGACGGUACCUAACCAGAAAGCCACGGCUAACUACGUGCCAGCAGCCGCGGUAAUACGUAGGUGGCAAGCGUUGUCCGGAAUUAUUGGGCGUAAAGGGCUCGCAGGCGGUUUCUUAAGUCUGAUGUGAAAGCCCCCGGCUCAACCGGGGAGGGUCAUUGGAAACUGGGAAACUUGAGUGCAGAAGAGGAGAGUGGAAUUCCACGUGUAGCGGUGAAAUGCGUAGAGAUGUGGAGGAACACCAGUGGCGAAGGCGACUCUCUGGUCUGUAACUGA
rnacentral:rRNA from 1 species